UAAUUUUUGAACAUGUCUAUGUGUAAGAAAUUCAUGCUUUUUUGCUUUUGUGCAAUGUUGGUGGGCUUGGUCUUGAUUGGAGAAGUAAAUGCAAAUGAACCAAUCGGCUACGGGGCUAUGGCAGGUGGUCGCCAACCUCCAUGCAAAGGAGACAAGUGCCUGCCACCUCCAUCAAAUCCUGGAAGUAGAGGUUGUGAAAGUAUCGAGAAAUGUCGACACCCAUGAAGUUGGUCAUGCUUGAAAAGGCUUCACUCCCAAUGUUUAUCGUGUCAAAAACUUGUUUAUAAUAAUUCUGGCUAUAUAUUUGCAAAUAUCUUCGAGUUAUACAAGCCAAUCUCUUUUACCUACUAAUAAAGCACUCAAACAAAGAAAUUGGUAUCUAUGAUCACUGUAACAUUUUUACCCUUUUACUACAAAAUUUUAGAUGCAAUUUUUCUUAUGUAACUAAAUUCAUCAUAUUACUCUUGAUACAUUUCAUUUAAUUACACUAUUUAAAUUGUAAUCCCAUAAAAAAAUUAAGAAGAGAAAAGCCCACAAAAUAAAAGCAGCCAACAGCCUAACAAAAAACAAACAAAAGCCCCUUGCCCUUUACGUGGUCAAAUAGACUAUAUUCUUGAAAAAUCCCUUUAGCUCUGCCUUGCUGCUUUCUCUUUUCAUGAUUCCAGAAAAUGCCAAACAAAUGAAGAGUUGAUGAUGCCAACCAACUCAAAUGGAUUUGUGUCAUGCGUAGUCCUAGACUUGUUCCUAUAUUUGAGCUUGCCCAUUUUAAUUCCCAGGUGCUCUGCUCCGUACAAAUUAUUUGAUCUACUCUCAAUUUUUCUAAGACAGGAGUAAGAUGACUUUGGUUGCUUGAGAAUCUGACAUAGGCAGACAAGAAGAAGCAGCUGAAGCUUAUGAUAUUGCUGCAAUUAAGUUUAGGGGAACAAGUGCUGUAACCAAUUUUGACAUAAGUAGGUAUGAUGUAAAGAGAAUUUGCUCAAGCUCUACUCUUACUAACCUCAAGUCAAGUCAGCUUAUAAUUAGUAAGCUUUUAACAUUAAAUCCCCAAAAGACCCUUUAACUCUUUACCUCUCAUUUCCAUCUUAUCUCACAGAUCCGAAUCUUUUUCUUCUUCUUCUAUGAAGGUACAUGUUUUGUUAUUGCUUUUUUCAAGUUUCAAUCUUUAACCCAGUUUUUGUUCAUAGCUGUCAUUAUCAUUUGGUCAUUCUUUUUGGGUGCUUUUCCUUUGCUAUAAGUUUUUCAGAUUAGAUCAGCUAACUGGGUUUUGCAUGGUAGAUUUGUUUUGCCUUGUUGGGUUUUUCUUUUUGAAGUCCCAUAUCGGGUUCUGAGGAUGCUAGGAAAGGGAAAUGAGGAUAAAAGUUCGUAAAAGAUUAUGAGUUUAUGUUUUGUUCUGUGUUGCCUUUACUCUAAAAAGGAAAAAAAGAUUGUAAAAAGUUUAGCUUUGCUUGAGUUUAGGUUGCAAAUACUGGCUCUAUGGAUUGGCAUUUAUGUUUUCUUAAGACCAUAAUUGAGGAUGAAUUAAUUGAUUCAAAGUUCAAAGCUA